UGAACUCAAAUUUGUGUGGAUUUGGAAUAGCUUCCCUUCGUUUGCCGCUAGGGGUGCUGUUCCAACUCCGUAAAAUUUGAGUUC
rnacentral:pre_miRNA from 1 species